rnacentral:autocatalytically_spliced_intron from 1 species
AAACGCCGUAUACGAGAUCCGUACGUACGGUGUUGUGAGAGGGGCGAGAACUUAUUCUCCCUCUACUCGAU